rnacentral:sRNA from 2 species
UACAGACGAUAGAGGUAUUCUUGCUUGACUAAGACAACAUCACAAUAACCAGGAGCCGAGUGUGAUAACAAAACAAUAUGAUGAUAGAAAAAUUUUUGACAAUUUCCCUGUGUUGUUCCUGUUUUAUUUUUGGGCAACACCAAAUGCGAAAUGAAUCCUUUUCCAGCCUCCAUCCACUCGCGAGAACCUGAAGAACCUGAAACAUCUAUUGGUAUAGCGCGACAACAAUCCACCACGUCUUUCGCAGGAACAAAGCGGUCUCUCACUGGAAACAUCUUGUUUCCGCAGAUUCCGAGUAUAAAUCAGCAGUCAAUCCAAACAGUCAGGAAAAGCACGGCUUUAAAGUCUAACGGCUUUAUUCGUCCAACUUUAUCAUCCACAGCAAACACUACACGUAUCAUUGCAAGCCAAAUACGUGAUGUGCCGGAUGCAGUGGGGAUAUCCAGUGAUACCAUAUCUGAAUACUCGCAACGGCAAGCUGUUUCAUCAACCCCAGGACCAUCGCAGAAUCCUCUGCUCUCACUUUCACAUCAAUCCUAUGGGUUGCCCCCUCAGUUGGUUGCCAAUUUUGCCUCUCUAGGCGUGAACUGUAUCUAUCCAUGGCAAGCUUCCUGUCUUCUGGGUCGAGGCCAUCUCACUGCGGAAAAGAACCUCGUAUACAGUGCGCCAACUGGCGGUGGAAAAUCCCUGGUAGCAGAUGUGCUGAUGCUGAAACGUGUCAUUGAGGAUCCAGCCAAGAGAGCUAUCCUUGUUCUUCCCUAUGUUGCUCUCGUGCAGGAGAAGCUCAAGUGGCUUCGCCGAGUAGUUGAAGGUGUGGAUAAAAACGUUGACAUGCCGACCACUGCAGACGAGGCCUCCUCGGCACCCAAAUGGAAACAACCGCAGAAGUCCAUUCGGGUUACAGGAUUUUUUGGCGGAAGCAAAACUAGAGCUACAUGGACUGAUACUGACAUAGCCGUUUGUACUAUUGAAAAGGCUAAUUCGUUAGUGAAUGCUGCCAUUGAGGAAUGUAGCAUUAAUGACCUGGGCGUUGUUGUCUUGGAUGAGCUCCAUAUGCUUGAUGAUGAGCAUCGUGGUUAUCUGAUAGAGAUUAUGGUUACAAAAUUAUUGUUAUUACAGCAAGAUAUCCAAAUCGUUGGUAUGAGUGCCACAUUAUCGAAUACUGAGGUCCUCGCGAAAUGGCUGCAUGCGAAUUACUAUAUUUCCAAAUAUCGGCCUAUACCUAUUCAAGAGCAUCUGGUCUACAACAAUGCAAUAUAUCCCGCCACAAGCUCAAAGGAGUUCUUUAGAACAGCUAUGCAAUUAAAUAAACCUGACUCAUCGCCAAAUUAUUCCCUUGCGUGCAGAAUAAUUGACCGAUCGAUGCAUAAGGAGCUUGGGAACCCAACUGCCAAUGCCAUGGUAUCGUUGGCCCUAGAAACUGCUCUCUCCGGAUAUGGCGCUCUCGUGUUUUGUGGCAGUCGACAAGCAUGUCAGAGUAAUGCGGUGCUUGUUAGCCAUGCGAUGCCAGACGAAACAGCGUUGGACAAUGAUCUGUUGGAACGUCGGAUGGAUCUAAUCGCGGGGCUGCAAAGCCUGCCUUGUGGGCUUGACCCUGUAUUGCAAAUGACGGUCAUCAAAGGAGUGGCUUUUCACCAUGCCGGCUUAACGACGGAAGAACGCGAUUUAAUUGCGGAGGCAUACGAUAAAGGCACCCUUAGGGUGCUAAUCGCUACAUGUAGCCUAGCAGCUGGGAUCAACCUUCCUGCACGACGAGUUAUUCUUUGUGGGGCUCGAAUGGGCCGCGAUUUGGUUGGCCCAGCUAUGCUACGGCAGAUGCGAGGGCGAGCUGGUCGGAAGGGCAAGGAUGAGGUUGGGGAAACUUACCUCUGUUGCCAAAAAGACGACCUAGAGGCAGUGGCAGAAUUACUGGAGGCAGAAAUGCCUGCCAUCGCCAGUGGUUUAACCCCUGAAAAAAGGGGCAUUAAAAGGGCGCUUCUUGAGGCAAUUGCGACUAGACUUGUUUCUAGCCGGGAGUCCAUCAACGAAUAUGUAAUGUGUACCUUGCUCUACCAGAAUAUGGAAGCAGCUGAGCUAUUUUCCAUGGUGGACAAGACACUCGAGGACCUAGUCGACAACGGCCUCGUGGAUCUCGAGCAGGCCGAAUCUUACGAGCCGACGCGACUAGGGCAAGCUGUGGUAUCCUCCUCGCUCAGCCCUGAAGAUGGUAUUUUCAUUCACGACGAACUGAAGCGUGCCCUUAAAUCCUUCGUCAUGGACGGGGAGAUGCAUAUUUUCUAUAUGUUCGCGCCUCUUCAAAAUUCAAGUCCCACUGAUAUCGACUGGUCGAUUUUUCGGGACCAAAUGAACAACCUUGAUGAAAGUGGUAUUCGUGCAUUGCAGUUUGUAGGCGUAGAGCCUGCGUUCGUGAACAAAAUGGCACAGUCCGGAACUCGAAUAAAGGACGAGACGAUCGCACGCAUCUAUCAACGCGCAUAUACAGCCUUCCAGCUACGCGACCUCAGUAACGAAGUCCCCAUAUCAACAAUCGCGCAGAGAUAUAACAUCCCGCGAGGCAAUGUCCAAACCCUGGCACAAACAUGCCAUGGAUUUGCUGCAGGUAUUGUUAAAUUCUGCCAACGCAUGGGUUGGGACAUGCUGGCAGUCGUGCUAGACCACAUGCGUGACCGUCUGCAUGCCGGAGCUCGAGCUGACCUGCUGGAAAUGGCCCAGGUGGCAUAUGUCAAGAGCCGAACGGCAAGGUUAUUGUGGGAGAAUGGUUUCAAGUCCUUGAGGGCGCUGGCUGAGGCUGACCCAAAGGACCUGGUGCCUGUUUUGAUGAUGGCCCAGCCACGAAAUACGAACCUCCAAGGUUCGCAACGUGUUCCCGCGAAGCUUCUCGCAAAAGCAGAGAUCAUCGUUGCAUCCGCCAAUAAAAU